CCUUCGAUAGCUCAGCUGGUAGAGCGGAGGACUGUAGAGUGUGUAAUGCUAAAGUCAUCCUUAGGUCGCUGGUUCGAUUCCGGCUCGAAGGA
rnacentral:tRNA from 1 species